GACGAACGCUGGCGGCGUGCUUAACACAUGCAAGUCGAACGGAAAGGCCCUGCUUUUGUGGGGUGCUCGAGUGGCGAACGGGUGAGUAACACGUGAGUAACCUGCCCUUGACUUUGGGAUAACUUCAGGAAACUGGGGCUAAUACCGGAUAGGAGCUCCUGCUGCAUGGUGGGGGUUGGAAAGUUUCGGCGGUUGGGGAUGGACUCGCGGCUUAUCAGCUUGUUGGUGGGGUAGUGGCUUACCAAGGCUUUGACGGGUAGCCGGCCUGAGAGGGUGACCGGCCACAUUGGGACUGAGAUACGGCCCAGACUCCUACGGGAGGCAGCAGUGGGGAAUAUUGCACAAUGGGCGGAAGCCUGAUGCAGCAACGCCGCGUGCGGGAUGACGGCCUUCGGGGUGUAAACCGCUUUAGCCUGUGACGAAGCGUGAGUGACGGUAAUGGGUAAAGAAGCACCGGCUAACUACGUG
rnacentral:rRNA from 1 species